rnacentral:rRNA from 1 species
GACGAACGCUGGCGGCGUGCUUAACACAUGCAAGUCGAACGGAAAGGCCCUGCUUUUGUGGGGUGCUCGAGUGGCGAACGGGUGAGUAACACGUGAGUAACCUGCCCUUGACUUUGGGAUAACUUCAGGAAACUGGGGCUAAUACCGGAUAGAAGCUCCUGCUGCAUGGUGGGGGUUGGAAAGUUUCGGCGGUUGGGGAUGGACUCGCGGCUUAUCAGCUUGUUGGUGGGGUAGUGGCUUACCAAGGCUUUGACGGGUAGCCGGCCUGAGAGGGUGACCGGCCACAUUGGGACUGAGAUACGGCCCAGACUCCUACGGGAGGCAGCAGUGGGGAAUAUUGCACAAUGGGCGGAAGCCUGAUGCAGCAACGCCGCGUGCGGGAUGACGGCCUUCGGGUUGUAAACCGCUUUCGCCUGUGACGAAGCGUGAGUGACGGUAAUGGGUAAAGAAGCACCGGCUAACUACGUGCCAGCAGCCGCGGUGAUACGUAGGGUGCGAGCGUUGUCCGGAUUUAUUGGGCGUAAAGGGCUCGUAGGUGGUUGAUCGCGUCGGAAGUGUAAUCUUGGGGCUUAACCCUGAGCGUGCUUUCGAUACGGGUUGACUUGAGGAAGGUAGGGGAGAAUGGAAUUCCUGGUGGAGCGGUGGAAUGCGCAGAUAUCAGGAGGAACACCAGUGGCGAAGGCGGUUCUCUGGGCCUUUCCUGACGCUGAGGAGCGAAAGCGUGGGGAGCGAACAGGCUUAGAUACCCUGGUAGCCCACGCUGUAAACGGUGGGUACUAGGUGUGGGGUCCAUUCCACGGGUUCCGUGCCGUAGCUAACGCUUUAAGUACCCCGCCUGGGGAGUACGGCCGCAAGGCUAAAACUCAAAGGAAUUGACGGGGCCCCGCACAAGCGGCGGAGCAUGCGGAUUAAUUCGAUGCAACGCGUAGAACCUUACCUGGGUUUGACAUGGAUCGGGAGUGCUCAGAGAUGGGUGUGCCUCUUUUGGGGUCGGUUCACAGGUGGUGCAUGGCUGUCGUCAGCUCGUGUCGUGAGAUGUUGGGUUAAGUCCCGCAACGAGCGCAACCCUUGUUCACUGUUGCCAGCACGUUAUGGUGGGGACUCAGUGGAGACCGCCGGGGUCAACUCGGAGGAAGGUGGGGAUGACGUCAAGUCAUCAUGCCCCUUAUGUCCAGGGCUUCACGCAUGCUACAAUGGCUGGUACAGAGAGUGGCGAGCCUGUGAGGGUGAGCGAAUCUCGGAAAGCCGGUCUCAGUUCGGAUGGGGGUCUGCAACUCGACCUCAUGAAGUCGGAGUCGCUAGUAAUCGCAGAUCAGCAACGCUGCGGUGAAUACGUUCCCGGGGCU